AUAACAUGAUGAUACAGUCUAAGAACUCAUAUCAACAAAAAGGUUUGGCACCUCAAUGUUGACUAUUCGUCACCUAGAACUAUAAUAUGUUUCAAGGGUUGAAUUGUUCGUUCAUUAAAUUAGUACUUGAUCACAAAAUUUUAGCAAGUUU
rnacentral:rRNA from 1 species